rnacentral:rRNA from 1 species
UACGUAGGGUGCAAGCGUUGUCCGGAAUUAUUGGGCGUAAAGAGCUCGUAGGCGGUCUGUCGCGUCUGCUGUGAAAACUCGGGGCUUAACCCCGGGCCUGCAGUGGGUACGGGCAGACUAGAGUGCGGUAGGGGAGACUGGAAUUCCUGGUGUAGCGGUGAAAUGCGCAGAUAUCAGGAGGAACACCGGUGGUGAAGGCGGGUCUCUGGGCCGUAACUGACGCUGAGGAGCGAAAGCGUGGGGAGCGAACAGG